CUGGAUUUCAUCCAGAAUCUAUUAUCAAACCAAUAAUUUACUGACUUCAGAAAGUUCAGAUUUAUUGAAACACUGCAUUUUAAAUGUACGCCCAUGUCUAAAAAUGAGCUGUAAUAUUAUCCAGUACCACCUCAGGUUGUUUGCGUCACACCGCUGCAUCAUCAUGGACUCCAGAUUGUUCCUAACAUUUUAUCAUUUUGAGAUCACGACUGUCCAAAUACACCCGUGUCCAUCUUGAAGACAAAGCAGCUCCUCUUUUGAGCUGAAAAAGCUCAGAAAUCUGCAGUUCCUGCAACAUCCACCAGAGGCAAACCGAGAGGUGGAGACAGCUGUAGCUACUAGCUUCACCUGAACUGGACCCUCUGGACCAUGUUUGUGUGGUUGGAGCCCUCUGACCAAUAAUAUGGCUGCUGUGCUCACACCUGACUGUCCAACAGGUGUGAGCUCCAGUUCUGCUCCUUAGACUACGAUGACCUGGAUGACUGAGAACCUUCACAGACAAACCACUAAAUUGGACACUGAUGUCACUCCAUACCUGCCAUCCACGCCAAAGGUGAUGUUGUCCACCUAAGUGGACAUGUAAAAAAGUCUUUGAAAAGUACAUGUUUAAACAAAAAUGAAGUUUACAAAUCUUUUUCAUGCCUAAAUAUGAAUAAAAAUACUUAAACCCAAUCCAGAUUGAAGUUGUCAUAAUUCAUCAAUGAAAGGGUUAAUUAGCAGGUAUCUUAGUUUGUGUGAUGCUAAAACCAGUACAUCCACAUUUAUCUAAUGGUUUUUAGCCAAAAGAGUACAAAAUAAGUGUAGCUCCCCCUGGUGUCAGCCACUGCAACUACAUUCUAAAAUUAAAUGUAAUAAAGAAUUAACGUAAAACAAUUGAGAUUCAAUCUGUAAAACACUGAUUUACAUGAUUAAAUUUACUGCUGGGAUUUUCAUCAUCCUGUCUUAAAUCUGCUGUGGAGCAACUUAAGAAAAUUUCAGACCAAUUAUUUUUGUCAGCUUUUUAGAAGGUGGACGAACCCGACUCCAAUAUUUGGGCAAUGUCUAAUAAAACCACACCACCACCCCGGGAAAGGUUUAAAUAAAAAAAAAAAAAAAAAAAAAAAAGACCACAGACACAGCAGUACGUUUCACUAUAUUUAUAUUAUAUCAUUAAAUUCAAUGUAGUACCUGAAACUAACCACACAGGCCAGACAGACACCGCCGUCCGGCUUCAACACACGGUCCCAGCAAAGAGAGAAAGAGACAGAGAAAGGCACAAAGAGUUCUGAAACUGAGAAAAGGACACAGAACAUGAUGAUGAUGGCGAUGAUGAUCAGACGAGUGCAUGAGCAAAGGAAAGCAGAGCGAGACUGGGUGGCUAUGACAUGAGUAAAUGAACCGAGUGACAGAUGCAGGCAGAGGCGA